rnacentral:tRNA from 1 species
AGGUCUAUAGCUCAAUUGGUAGAGUUUUGCUUUGAUAAAGCAAAGGUUAUUGGUUCAAUCCCAAUUAGACCUA